AAAAAAAAACCGAAAAUUCUUGUCUUUAAAUUUAAAGGAAACGUACCGCCGCCAUACGUACGUUCGAGUUCAAAUUCAAUUUGUUCGCGGAAAAAUCGUGUAGUAAAGUCAUUAUUUACGAGUAUUUCUCAUAUGUAUGCACAUACUUAUACGAACGCCGCUUUGCUGUCAUUUCAGAUGUGAAAAUAAAAAUAAAAAAUAUUUAUACAAAGAAAUCUGAAAAAAAUCUGUACACAAAAAGACUUUUUUUUCCCCCUUUUUACUGC